GGAUAUCAAGGAAGGGAAUGUGUGCACAAUCUCAUUUGAUGAGCAGAGACAGAGUGGUGAAGACCAGGAGCUGAGCACUAAGAAACACAGUUUCCCUUAGACAGGAGGCACGUCCAUGGCCCCAAUCCUGCUACAUCCUGUGUGACAAGGGUUGACACUGCCAAUGCCCCCCAUGAGUGAGUUUGGGAGCGGACCCCACCCAGGCAAGCUUUCAGAUGGGCCAGAAGCCCCAGCCUGAUGUGAGAUCACAGUCUAGAGCCUCCAGCAAAGCACCUGGAUUCCUGCCAGAGGCACCAGGAGAGAAUGAAUUUGCUGUUUUAAGCCCCUACAUUUGAAGGCAAUCUGCCUCCCACACUAGAAAACACAGCCAGUGGACCUCAGAGAGCCUGUCUCCACUUCCCCUGUUCUGGGAUUACAAGUGUGCCCACAGCAGUUAGAAGAGGACAUCGGAUUCCCUGUGACUGGAGUUACAGAUGGUUGUGAAGCCACCAUGUGGGUGAUGGAAAUCCAACCCUGGUUCCCUACAAAAUCAGCAAGUGCUCU